rnacentral:rRNA from 1 species
GACGAACGCUGGCGGCGUGCUUAAUACAUGCAAGUCGAACGGAAAGGCCCGGCUUUUGUGGGGUGCUCGAUUGGCGAACGGGUGAGUAACACGUGAGUAACCUGCCCUUGACUUUGGGAUAACUUCAGGAAACUGGGGCUCAUAUCGGAUAGGAUCUCCUGCUGCAUGGUGGGGGUUGGAAAGAUUCGGCGGUUGGGGAUGGACUCGCGGCUUAUCAGCUUGUUGGUGGGGUAGUGGCUUACCAAGGCUUUGACGGGUAGCCGGCCUGAGAGGGUGACCGGCGACAUUGGGACUGAGAGACGGCCCAGACUCCUACGGGAGGCAGCAGUGGGGAAUAUUGCACAAUGGGCGGAAGCCUGAUGCAGCAACGCCGCGUGCGGGAUGACGGCCUUCGGGGUGUAAACCGCUUUCGCCUGUGACGAAGCGUGAGUGACGGUAAUGGGUAAAGAAGCACCGGCUAACUACGUG